AAGGAAACCCAUGCCAAAAUGUAAGGACGUCACAUCCGGCACUGUAUGUUUCAGUCUACUUCACGGCACGCCUGGGUCGAGUAAGACUGAAGGCGUGGGUGACUGUCCAACUUAAAUAUGCUAAGUGUUGCUGAGAUGCCAGGCUCUGCCCUGCUCAGACCUCCUGACUGACCUCUACUGCUCCAGCAUGACUUUGAGCUGAACAAUAAGAAGUAGAGAUGAAGCCAGGCUCUGCCCUGCUCAGACCUCCUGACUGACCUCUGCUGCUCCAGCAUGAGCUGAACACUAAGAAGUAGAGAUGAAGCCCUGCUCAGACCUCCUGACUGACCUCUGCUGCUCCAGCAUGAGCUGAACACUAAGAAGUAGAGAUGAAGCCAGGCUCUGCCCUGCUCAGACCUCCUGACUGACCUCUGCUGCUCCAGCAUGAGCUGAACACUAAGAUUUCCCUGAGGGUUGGAGAAACCGUUCAUCUGCAGAAGAAAAUAAAUGGUCACAUUUGUACAUCUGCAGAAUAUUUCUUUAAUGGUUUUCUUGUUUUCCACAAUGUUGAAAUAAACUUUAUUAACUAAU